GAUAACACAGUAGCUGGCUCCAGGAGCAGUUCGAUCUGAAGGCUUGAGGCCUGCCUGGGGCGGCCCAGAGAAGGAAGGGUUCCACACACAGUUAUCCACCUUCUGUGUGGCGUCCAACGGUGACGCGUCACGCUGCGCAGCGGGGAAACUCUGUGGCACCGCCCCUCUGUUUGUCCUCUGUUCCUGUCCCGCCGCCGGGAACAGCCUCCCAGGGGACGCCGGAGAGGGUGAGGAGGACAUGGUGGGACUCUCCCCGGCGCUGCCCAGACCCAAAGGUGGCCCACCUCCGACAGCCGUCCUCCCAGGCACCUUGAGGUCGGACGACUCCACCUUGAACCCUGACCCCGACGAAGCUUUGUCGAAGAGGCCUGACAGCUUGUCCUCGUCUGUCAGCCUGGGCGCCACUGGGCUGCCCCCGAAGCCCUGUGUUCCCAUCUGGUCCCUCUGCCAGUCCCAUCCCUGUGGGGCCUGCUGAGAUGUCAUCGAGGCAGAGGGCACCUUGUCCAACUCGGUAUACUCGCAGCGCUGUCCACCACCACCUUGCUGUUGCUGAUUGGUGAGAGAAGACAUCAUCACCUCUCUCUUCCUCUCUCUGCUUCUUCCUUCUGAUGGAUCUUCUUUAUUCGUGUUGACAGCUAAAUGAAUGAAUUUCCCCUUGGCGCCCGACAGAGCUAUGGUCACAUGACUGUACGGAACACAUCCCCAUUCGCUAGAGCAGACUCUUGACUCACGCCUCACAGCAAAUAUAAUAGUUUCUUUUAGGACAAAGAAAUGGACAAGGCGCUGCUCGGCUGGCUAUGUGUAGGAGAAAUCAGCAGCCAUCUACAGACAUGCUGUGGAUGUUUUGGGAGGGCCACGUUAGUAAGGUCCUGAGUCGUUCCAUCUCCACGGAAACUACCUCCCAUAUCCAUGGCAACAAGCUCCCAGUCAGCGAGAAGCUGCUAUGAUUAUGAUACAUGUCGUCUCGGCGACCCAGGGAGUCUGGAAAGGGAGAUGAAACGUGACAUGGAAGGAAGAGAAAGAAAAGGGCAAAUGAAGGUUGAAGAGAUCAGGCAGAGGAGGAAGAGACAAACACAAAUAAUGAAGAAGGAAGGAGAAGAAGCAGAGAAAGGCACAUGGAGCGAGAGAGAGGACUGGAAAGCAUAGAGUGAAUGCACAAAGGACAAGAUGGGGGAAGACUAAUCUCACCCCACUUAAUCCCCACAAGUCUUCCUUGAAAGCUUGCAAUCCACUGUGUUUUAUGAAAUGGGUUAGAAUAAGCCAAAUAGAGUGACACAUCGAAAGACACUUUAUAGUCAUUCAUUCAUACAUUAGAAGGUCCAGCGGACUGACGGGGACACAUUAAUUAACCAAAAUCCAAUCAUUCUGCCAAUUAUACCCAUAAACCAGAAGUGUCAAACUACAAGAUUCCAGGAGGCAGCAAUAAAAGUGCCAUGCUGUCAAAAUGUAAUUUUCUUUAUGUAAUUAUUAGUGAGCUUGACAGAGUAAAAAAUUAAUAUGGUUCUGUUAUAAUAAAUGUUUUUAUUGAAACCAUCGGCCAUAUGUUUGACACCCCUGGCUUAAAUGAAACAGGGAAAAGACCAGACUGGCGCUAUGGAGUUUAAUGGUGACUUUGUAGACAUUAUGUGUCUGGUUAAGGGACCAAAACACAUAACUGUGAGGAACAGCAGUGAGUCUGAGGCCCUGUGUGUUUCUUCAAGGACCUUUCUGUAUUUUGCUCUGUUCAUCCUUCUCUCAAUCCUGACCAGUCUCCCAUUCCCUGCCGCUGAGAAGCAUCCCAAUAGCAUGUUUCUUCCACAACAUUACUUCACCAUAGGGAUGGUAUUAGCCGGCCAGAUGAUGAGCCGUACAUUGUUUUCACUGGAUGUAUCAUUUAGGCCUGUUUGUUUGAUUUUGACAGCAUGUCAUAUGCCUGUUACUCUGGAUUGGUUCCGUCAAGCCACUCUCCCAUAAAGGGCUGAUUGAUGGAGUGAUGCAGAUAGUUGUCCUCAUCGUACUGCAGGUUCUCUCAUCUCUGCAGAGAAACUCUGAAGCUCUGUGAGAAUAAGUGUUGGGUUCUUAGUCACCUCAAUGACAAAGGCCCUUCAUGCCUAAUUACUGAGUUUGGCUAUCAGCCAGCUCUAGGAAGAAUCACGGUGGUUCCAAACGUCUUCUACUUCACAAUGAUGGAUCCCUUUGUCACCCUUCCCCAGAUAUAUGCCUCAACACAACUCUCUGACAUCUAUAAAGAGUUACUUGGACUUCAUGGCUUGGUUUUCCCUCUGACAUAGUGGUGUCUGACUUAGGAAACAAUGCCCAGUCAAUUGAAUUUGCCACAAGUGGACUCCAAAGAUCUAGAGAAAAGAACGUAGGUUGCGUCUGAGCUAUAUUUGGAGUGUCUUGGCAAAAGGUCGGAAUACUCUGACAUAUGUGUUCCUAAAAACAUGUUUUCUUUUGUCAUUAUGUGGUCUGAUGUUGAGAUGGUAUAUACAUAUUUAAAUUAAAAAGUGAUUAAAUGAAAGAAGUACUACAUUACCCAAAGUGGUUCUUUGGUGUUGGGAAAACAUUUUGGCGUUUCAAUGAUGGUAAAAAGAACCAUUAAAAUAAGUGUCAGUCAUACUUUAACAUUAAGAAUGUUUAUUUUUACAGAAUUAAGCAUUCACUUUUCAACGCUUUCUUUUAAAAUAUUAGAAACAGGGGCAGUAUGAUUGUGCAUUUUAACAGUCAAUUUUAACAACAUAAAAUACAUAAAAUAAAUGAAAGUAGUUUAAAAGAUUUGUCUUUGAAAUAUCGAAUUGUCUCAGGAUGAUGAAGUCUAGUGCUUUUUUAAGGUUAUAAGGAAUUUUAUAUUUUGUCUCCUUUUAGUUAGUUGCAGCUUAGUUUCCACUAGUUUUGGUGUUACAAAGCUCUUUGUUUUAACUGCGUAUUACAGAUAGUUUUUUUUUUAAAUGUCAUUAAGAGAGUCUCUUUCUAUUCAGGGAAUUAGAGUGCAGCAUCUCAUUUUCAUUACAACUAAAACAGACUCUGUUUUCAUGACAUGGUGCUCUUUGUGAUAAUGAGUGUCUAACAGUGGUCAGCAGUGAUGCUGCCUCAAACAGAAACCCCCCAGGUGCCUUCACUCUAUAUCAUUCUGAGGGAUCCAGCAUGACCACAUUCACAGUAUCAGCUAGUAAUUAGGUAACACCGUAAGUCAUUAACCACUGGAGGAUGACCACUUUGGUCAAUUCAUAAAUAAUUCAAAGUAGCCAGUUCAACACAUAGAAACGCUAACAGACCCUUGUCUUUACCAGAUAUAGCCCACCAUGGUAAUAUUCACCUUGUA